rnacentral:rRNA from 1 species
ACAAUCCAUCGGCCAAACCGGUGGGGCCUUUUUGGGUUUUUACACUCUGCUCAGGACGAACGCGGGCGGCGUGCUUAAUACAUGCAAGUCGAGCGGACCGACGGGAGCUUGCUCCCUUAGUUCAGCGGCGGACGGGUGAGUAACACGUGGGUAACUUCCCUGUAAGACUGGGAUAAUUCCGGGAACCCGGGGUUAAUACCGGAUGCUUGAUUGAACGCCAUGGUUCAAUCAUAAAAGGUGGCUUUUAGCUACCACUUACAGAUGGACCCGCGGCGCAUUAGCUAGUUGGUGAGGUAACGGCUCACCAAGGCGACGAUGCGUAGCCGACCUGAGAGGGUGAUCGGCCACACUGGGACUGAGACACGGCCCAGACUCCUACGGGAGGCAGCAGUAGGGAAUCUUCCGCAAUGGACGAAAGUCUGACGGAGCAACGCCGCGUGAGUGAUGAAGGUUUUCGGAUCGUAAAACUCUGUUGUUAGGGAAGAACAAGUACCGUUCGAAUAGGGCGGCACCUUGACGGUACCUAACCAGAAAGCCACGGCUAACUACGUGCCAGCAGCCGCGGUAAUACGUAGGUGGCAAGCGUUGUCCGGAAUUAUUGGGCGUAAAGCGCGCGCAGGCGGUUUCUUAAGUCUGAUGUGAAAGCCCCCGGCUCAACCGGGGAGGGUCAUUGGAAACUGGGGAACUUGAGUGCAGAAGAGGAGAGUGGAAUUCCACGUGUAGCGGUGAAAUGCGUAGAGAUGUGGAGGAACACCAGUGGCGAAGGCGACUCUCUGGUCUGUAACUGACGCUGAGGCGCGAAAGCGUGGGGAGCGAACAGGAUUAGAUACCCUGGUAGUCCACGCCGUAAACGAUGAGUGCUAAGUGUUAGAGGGUUUCCGCCCUUUAGUGCUGCAGCAAACGCAUAAGCACUCCGCCUGGGAGACUUCCGUC